rnacentral:misc_RNA from 1 species
GGUGGGGCCCUUGCUUAUUCGGGCUGCUGUGAUAGUGUCUUCGCAGGUCAACAAAACCCCGCCUUCGGGCGGGGUUUUGCUUUUUU